rnacentral:rRNA from 1 species
UACAGAGGUCCCGAGCGUUGUUCGGAUUUAUUGGGCGUAAAGGGUGCGUAGGCGGCGGAGUAAGUUGGGUGUGAAGUCCCGGGGCUCAACCUCGGAAUGGCAUUCAAUACUGCUUCGCUAGAGUACUGGAGAGGAGGCUGGAAUUUACGGUGUAGCAGUGAAAUGCGUAGAUAUCGUAAGGAAGGCCGGUGGCGAAAGCGAGCCUCUGGACAGUUACUGACGCUGAUGCACGAAGGCCAGGGGAGCAAACGGG